rnacentral:lncRNA from 1 species
AUUACAUAACGAAAAUGUCUUACAAAAUAACUGAUAGUAAAUAAAUCGAACUAAGAUAAUUAUUCCUCGGCGCCAACAACUAAUUGUGAGACGACACCUAGACCUCGUCAAACUCGUCAUAGUAGUCCUCCUUCGGUGGUACCUGCUAUUCACCUAGGGUUUAUUGCAAGGGUGAGCUCACAAAUGUUCAUCGCUCAGCAAGUGUGGGGAAUAAUGUGCAUGAGCUCACUUACGGUGGAGGCUCACAUGUAGAGUAAGGUUGAUCAACAAAUAAUGGUCAAGAUUGAGCAUUGCUUUUAAUAAGUUGGUCAAAGUUUUGUUAGCAGUUACUAAGUAUAAGUGUAUAUCAUCCCAAUAAAAUAAGAGAUCACAAUUAUAACAAAUCUCACAAUGCAAUGUAAAGAUAGAUUAAGUUUAAUUCUAUAAGUUACUCAUGUGAGUGUCUGAGCCGCUCAUGACCGUGAGCACGACUAUAGGUGUACAUUUUGACUGGGCCUGAUGGGCUGGCCCUAAGCACGAAAAAAGCACGACCCAGGCAUGGCACGACCCGAAAUAUUUUAGUGCCAGACCGGCACAUCCCAAUAUUUCGGGCCAGGUUUGGGCCAAGGUCACGGCCCAUGGGCAGGCACGAGCACGGCCCGAUUAAUGCAGGCACGAAAUGGAUAUAGAGGCACGAAAAGGCACAUAUAUCCAUUAAAACUGCACUUCAUUCCACAAUUUCAUAUACUUGAUAAAGAACACACAGGUAGAGAUGAUACUAGUUAGACGUUUUUGUAGCUUUGAAUUAGUGUAUGUGAUGCAAUUUUACUUUUGUUAUGAAUAUUAGAUAAUGAACUGAACUUACGAACUCUGUAUAGAGCUGAUUAUACUCUUUUUCCUUCUAACAAAAUGAUUUUUUAACGAGGUAGUCAUUGCAUAACUCUUGUAACUUAAUACAAAUAUUAAGUUUGCUUUUGGACAGAUUUAUUUGUCUUAUCUUUUAUUUGUUUUAUUAAAUUUGUUUUGAAUUUAGGGCUCUGAUGUGAAUUUCGGGCCAUGAUGUGAUUUUUUGGGCUAAAAAUUGAAUUUCGAGCUUUUUAUAAUUUCGAGCCACCCAAAAUGAGCCCGGCACGUUUAAGCAAUUACGUGUCAGGCCGUGGGCCGAGGGCUAGGCCUAUGGGCUGGCCUGUCACGACCUGAAAUUCAAAAGGGUCAAGCCGAAAUUUAAACAGGUUGGGCCUUUUUGGGCUGAGGCCGGGCCGGGCGUCCCGAAUGUACACCUAUAAGCACAACUGAUAUACCAGUUUACUCCCUGCAGAGGUUGCACAUCUUUACCCACAAGCUAUGUUACCCAUUUGCCAAGGAGCCUAGAAUUCCCAUUCAUCUCUACCGAGCAGACGAGGCAGGGUAGCACUACAAGGCCUUUCCAAAGUCCCACUAGUUCGAGAAAACCCGUUACAGAUUCAAGAAGGAAGCAUAGGAGUCCCUCGUCUGAAAAGCUUUACAGACAGUCUGACUUGAUGACCUCCCUAUACUCUACAGCAACACGCUCCCCACUUGCCCUUUUCGGGUAAUGUAGUCUCUCAAUAGCUUUCCUAAUUACUUGACCAAGGACGUCCCAUUCCACCCUUGUGGUAGCACUGUUUUCCUAGGUGGUUCUCCAUAUUCCAAUUAACACAAUAGCCUUAUCAUGAACAAUAAAUAACCCAGCAGUAAUAAUAAAAGCAUGAUCAUGUAUUCAUGUGUCAUAUAGUAUUACUUCCCGAAAACCAGGUAGAGCAUAGCCAAACCACCCAAUAAUUCAUUUGCAUGCAAUGUGUGGGGUAAACAAAACUAGGACAACCUAUUAGGUCCCAUCAAAUUGACAUGAGCAUGUUACAGUGAUUGACAGGAACAUUAUUAGGUAAAGAAGAGUGGUCAAGGGCACAACUUGCCUUUAGCGAGCUCCUGCUCAGAGUCUUCAACCUAUUGUGCUCCGAGCACCUCGUCACUUGCUCGUCUACUCACAACAAUACAAACAAACAUUGCAUAGGAGAAAUUAACAUCACACCAAACAUGAGAACAAUCAACACAAUAAUAUUCUACGCGUCGUUACGAGAUCGUAGAUUCGAGAACUACUAAAUUCGGAGUUACAGUUAAAAAGAUAUUCUAUGUAAUUAAACUAUGUUUGAUUAAUAUAAAUCAUGCAAACAAAGGUAUUCUAAAGGAAUGAGUUAACUUAAUCUUAAUCUAGAUUAUAACUUGAUUAAAAUAGUCAAAUUAUAAUUAAAGAAUCCACAUAUUAAUUUAACUAUAUUAGAAAGGCCAAUCCAAUAGUCAUAGAUUAAACAAAUUAGCUGUCUAUUUUUGAAACCAUGUUACAUGAUCAAAUAAGGUUAUUAAAGUGUAGACAACUUUAUUACAAAGCUAACGCAACUUGAAUGUAUCCAAACGGAGCUAAAUUGAGUAAGUUAUGGAGUUUACAAGUUUUUAGGUAUUCUAUUAUUGAUUCUAUACCUUAAAAUAAAUCCCAGGGGUGCUUUUGCAAAGACCCGAUUUAAUUCUAUUUAUUUUAACUCCUAUAUGAAUGGCGGGUUCUAUUCUCAAAUAAUAUAGGGUCUUUUCCAAUUUAGCGCAGUCGAAGGGGUAUCGAUGGAUCUCGGUUGUCCGAUCAAAAUUUGACCGUCUGGAUUAGAUCCCCAUUAUAACGAACCAGUACGCGAAGGACAUCGUAAGAUUAAAUAUCUAUGGUCACAACACGCAGAUGCCCCAGAGCCACACAGACUAAAUCAACGGCCCGGAUCAGAUUGUUUAAAAGUCGAACCAGUAUUCCACUCUCGCCCAUCGGAUCCACGAUCUGUGGCCCAUAUUUUAAAAUUGCCCGAUCUUAUGUCGCCCCUCCAUCAUGGAUCCUACGGCCACGGUCCCCCCUGGACCAAACGGUACGCUAGCCCAAAUCCUGUGCGCUCAUCGCACGAUCGACAACUGGCCUGAACUCGACUUCCCCCGUGCAACUCUAGCCGGCGGUGCACACUUACACGACGGCUGCCAUGGCUGGAGUCCCGGUUAUCGACGUGUCGUGAUCUAACCUCAGGUUUGAAAGUCUCUACAGGAGGCGGGAAUGACAACAAGUUUUCGGGGAGGGUUCUCAGUUUCUCACCGGCGAUGGAGCGUUGUUAGAGUUGGUCCACGAUGCGAUGCGGCGCUUCAACUCUGUUGAGAAAUUUCGGGGGCGACCUUCAACUCCGCCCGAUGAAUCCGCGGUCAACUUCAACGUCGUACGGGAAAGCCCAUGGUUCGUCCCAGCGUGCUCGUCGAUGAAGAAACCAAACUCUCCUCCCUCGGUGGAACUCUCUCUCUCUCUUUCUCGGUCUCCGGUGAGAGGCCCUGGUACGGUGACUUGUGGAUCCUCGACAGCUAAGGCCCUGUUCGUUUUGUGUCAAUCCAUAGGGAUUGAGGGGGAUUAAAUCCCCUACAAGUCAAAAUCCU